UUUCGUCUUCUUUUCUUUUUGUCUCUCUUCCUUUCUCUUUCUCUGUGUGUCAUCGUUGGGGGGUGGUUAAAGCCGGGCAGAAUGGGAGCAACUGAUUGAAGGAA
rnacentral:ribozyme from 1 species